UGCGCCUUGCCAGCCCGCUCAGAAACUUAAAUGAAUUGACGGGGGCCCGCACAAGCGGAGGAGCAUGUGGUUUAAUUCGAUGAUACGCGAGGAACCUUACCUGGGCUCGAACGUAAGAUGACUGUAGGUGAAAGCUUACAUCUCUUCGGAGCAUUUUACGAGGUGCUGCAUGGUUGUCGUCAGCUCGUGCCGUGAGGUGUCGGGUUAAGUCCCGUAACGAGCGCAACCCUUGUCCUUAGUUACCAGCACGUUAUGGUGGGCACUCUAAGGAGACUGCCGGUGACAAACCGGAGGAAGGUGGGGAUGAUGUCAAGUCAUCAUGGCCCUUACGGCCUGGGCUACACACGUGCUACAAUGGUCGGUACAAAGGGUUGCCAAGCCGCGAGGUGGAGCUAAUCCCAUAAAACCGAUCGUAGUCCGGAUCGCAGUCUGCAACUCGACUGCGUGAAGUCGGAAUCGCUAGUAAUCGUGAAUCAGAAUGUCACGGUGAAUACGUUCCCGGGCCUU
rnacentral:rRNA from 1 species